GUAUUGCUCAGUGGUAGAGUGCAUGCUUAGCAUGCAUGAGGUCCUGGGUUUAAUUCCCUAGUAC
rnacentral:tRNA from 1 species